AUUCCAGCUCCAAAAGCGUAUAUUAAUAUUGUUGCAGUUAAAAGGCUCGUAGUCGAAUAUCUGGGAUUAUCUAGUGCCUUUGUAUCUAGUAUACACUGAGUUCUACAUAAUUCCAAUUUUUCCAGUAUUUGUGUCUGCUCUUGAUUGAGUUUGGUGCAAAAGCUGGUUCUUUUACUGUGAGUAAAUCAGAGUGUUCAAAGCAGACGAUAGUCUUGAAUGCUACAGCAUGGAAUAAUACUAUAGGACUUUGUUUCUAUUUAUUGACUUCUAGAGAAAAAGUAAUGAUUGAAAGAGGUAGUUGGGGGUGCCAGUAUUUGACGGUAAGCGGUGAAAUGCUCAGACCCGUUAAAGACUAACUAAAGCGAAAGCACUCACUAAAGAUAUUUUCAUCG
rnacentral:rRNA from 1 species